rnacentral:rRNA from 1 species
AGGAAUUUGACGGGGGCCCGCACAAGCGGUGGAUUAUGUGGUUUUAAUUCGAUGAUACGCGAGGAACCUUACCAAGGCUUAAAUGGGAAUUGAUCGGUUUAGAAAUAGACCUUCCUUCGGGCAAUUUUCAAGGUGCUGCAUGGUUGUCGUCAGCUCGUGCCGUGAGGUGUUAGGUUAAGUCCUGCAACGAGCGCAACCCCUGUCACUAGUUGCCAUCAUUCAGUUGGGGACUCUAGUGAGACUGCCUACGCAAGUAGAGAGGAAGGUGGGGAUGACGUCAAAUCAUCACGGCCCUUACGCCUUGGGCCACACACGUAAUACAAUGGCCGGUACAGAGGGCAGCUACACAGCGAUGUGAUGCAAAUCCCGAAAGCCGGUCUCAGUUCGGAUUGGAGUCUGCAACUCGACUCUAUGAAGCUGGAAUCGCUAGUAAUCGCGCAUCAGCCAUGGCGCGGUGAAUACGUUCCCGGGCCUUGUACACACCGCCCGUCAAGCCAUGGAAGUCUGGGGUACCUGAAGUCGGUGACCGUAAAAGGAGCUGCCUAGGGUAAAACAGGUAAGUAGGGUAAGUCGUAACAAGGUAACCAAUGAAUCCCGCGGCCGCCUGGCGGCCCGGAGGCACGGGACUUCA